GAGCGUAGCUGCUAAGCAGCUGCGAGAGCCCUAUUAUUCCCCAAGUGGUUUUUCUUUGUUUCUUUCUUUAGGGCUCUCGCAGCUGCUUAGCAGCUACGCUC